UACAGAGGUCCCAAGCGUUGUUCGGAUUCACUGGGCGUAAAGGGUGCGCAGGUGGGUUGGCAAGUUUGAUGUGAAAGCCCCGGGCUUAACCCGGGAAUGGCAUUGAAAACUGCUGAUCUGGAGGAUCGGAGGGGGGACUGGAAUUCUUGGUGUAGCAGUGAAAUGCGCAGAUAUCAGGAGGAACACCGGUGGCGAAGGCGGCUUGCUGGGCCAGUUCUGACGCUGAGGAGCGAAAGCGUGGGGAGCGAACAGG
rnacentral:rRNA from 1 species